rnacentral:lncRNA from 1 species
CUCUAAUGUGACUUUCCUCCAGUUUCUUCAUGUGGGCACUUAGUGCUAUGAACUUCCCUCUUAGCACUGCUUUCAGGGUGUCCCAUAAGUUCAGGUUCGUCCAGACAGCACUAGCGGAGAUGUAGUCAGAUGGCUUCAGGUGACGGGAGGAACGCGAAACCAGCGCAGUGGUCUAACAGCCAGACCUUUAAACCGGAGUGGGACAGCGGCUCGGCCUGGUAGUCAUAGCAGAGGGUUAGCGUCAGCACACUGGCAGCCUGGAGAGUAGCUGCUACCCUGUCGACAACUUUGCCACUGUGUUCUUUGAGCCCCUGCCUAUGAAUGAAUCUCCAGUGAGCCUACAGAACUAUCCGGUUGCCUCGACAGGUUCCCCAACACAAUUGCUUCCUAACUCCAAGAAGGAAGUGAACCAGCACCAGUACACCCUGAGCCACCACAGUCCUGUGCUUCUCAGCUUCUCC